GAAGCGUGCUCGGUAAGACAUCGCGUCUUAUGCCUACGUAUCUCAUCUGGAAUGAGAAUCAGAGCAAAACGUAGUUCGGCUAACUACGGGGUAAGGGUUGUGUUUUGGGGUGAACGAUGUUACUACGCAAUCUAAUGGAUGCUCGACCUUUGGAGACUUACUCGCCUGUAGUAGAAGGAGAUAACGUGUUCUUAGGAGAAGAAAAAU
rnacentral:lncRNA from 1 species